rnacentral:tRNA from 2 species
GCGGAAGUGGCUCAGUGGUAGAGCAUCGCCUUGCCAAGGCGAAGGUCGCGGGUUCGAAUCCCGUCUUCCGCUCCA